CCCACUGGUUCAGACAGAAGCCUCUGGGAGAGCCCUCCAGAGUCCACCUUGAAGGCUUCAUUCCUUCUACCCAGAGCAUCUCCGUGGAGAGGAAGAAAAAGCAUCAACGAAAUGAGGUGCCCCAGCGGUUCUGGGGAGCAAUUCCUCUCUUCAUAUGACCAUUUGGGAAACCCCCAGUGAGAUGGAGUGUGCUUUUAAGCCAUGAAAACCAUGCACAUCAGCCCCACCACAGAGCCUGUGUGAUUUCAUCUUAGAUGGUAUCUUGGAAGCAAGACCUACCUGGACUUUUUAGAAAUCUAAUCUAAUCAUUUUCUGUCUUGGAGUAGUAAUGGAGGGAGCCCCAUGAAGAGUGGAGUCUGCCUUCAGGAGCAGACUCUGCCUGGCAUCCCAGAGGAGUCUGUGUCUUGAAGCAGUCAGUGCUCCCAGGGCUGAGCCGCUGGCCCUGAACAACCAUUCCUUGAAUAAAGAAAUAAAGAGUGAGGCUAACUCAAGACCCAUCCUGGCUCCAUAACUCUAUUUCCAAAGUCUUUUUUUUUUUUUUUUUUUUUUUUUGCUUAACAUUGCAGGGCACCUGCUCUAUGCUCACUGCUGGGAUCACACAGGGGAAUGAGUAGAGCUCUCCCUGGCCUCAGACACCCCCACUUAGUGAGAAGGUUACCUGUGGGGACAACUCCCUUGCCAGGUGAUAAUAGCUAUGAUGGAAGCACCCACAGAAUGUUUGAAAAGAUUUGGCAAAAGUGGGGCCACAGUGUUGCCUUUGGCAACAGCUAGGUGAAGCUGAUCAGCAGCCAUCCCUUUGGGUAGGUCCAUGCUCCAUUUCUCCACUGUCCUCACCAAGGCCAGACUAGGUCAGGCAAACAAGGCCCAAGAAGCCAACUUUAAGGAGGCACUCAUCUCCCAGUGCUAGCCUUGUACUUGCAAAGCCCCAAGAGUGAGUGCUUCCUUAAAACAUGCAUCCUGGGCACCUUCCUAGCCUUGCCCUAGCCCUAGUCCUGACCCUGGUCUCCAACACUCCCUACUGCCUCCCCAACAGUGAGGCCAUGUAUAAAUGGUCACAUCCUGCUUGCUCUGUUGUUUGUCUACUGCUAGAGUUAAGAGGAAUGUGAAUUUUCUGGUAUGCUUGUCUCCAUCAAAACUGAGUAAACAAAAUAUAAACCAAAAAGAGUCCUGGACUUCACCUGCCUGAUUCACCUAUUACAUUCCCCAUGGUCUUGAGUUUGAGAACCUGAGGUUCUCAGCCUGAUUGCAAGGUCCUUGAGUGCCAAGGGCAAAUGUCCCAUAGUAGGAACUUUAGUCAGAGGAGCAAUGGGAACAAAUGUCUUUUAGAAAAAUAACCCUUGCUUUGGUGGUCUGAGAGCUGAUGUGGACUGAGAAAUUGAGAGUCUCCUGCAAAGGUGAGGGCAUAGAGAGGGGAGGGUGAGGGCAGCUGUGCUCACUGCAGGAGUCAAAACAAGGUUGGAUGAGGUAGGACUUAAGAAUUACUAGAUGGCUCUAUCAAGACUUCCUGGUCAGUGGUGAGGCUUUAAACAAGAAAGGAGUACGGAAGAAAGUGGACAUUUGCUUUGGGUAAGCUGAGUUUGAAGUCAGGACAUCAGAGUAUACCGGAAUCACAAGGACCAUUGCUGAGAGGACUCCCACCACCAUACAGACCCCUCCCUCUACUCUGGGCUCUCUCCAGGGCAGGAGUCCCACAUGGCUUCUCAAGUGUGCCUCUGCUGGAGCCCAGCAUAAAAUAUCCCCCAGCCGGGCAGCCAGGUUAACUUAUUGUUAGCAGGCUGAAAAGGAGGCUGUUAUUUCACAGCAGAGAUAAAAGUUAAUCACAGAUUAGGACUGCCCAGAAAAUAUUGAUGACUUCAUCCACCUGAGUACUAGCCUGGGGGAAGUGUUCACCACUCCUUAGUUGUCAGACCAGUCCAGCCAGUUCCCUGACUCCCUCUUUAAAAUGCAGGCCCAGGCUUUAACAAAAGCCUGGACCCAUGAAUAGACAGCAUUCAUACGCGGGUUCUGAGUCAUUCUGCAGACCUACUGCGUGCCCUGCCUUCUAGACUUCUGAUUGGAGAAGGUCUCCGCUUACCUUCCGCCCUGCCUUGCCACCGGAACCUCCCUCCCACCCUCCCUCUCUCAUUAGAACUUUUAUCUGGCGGCACCAUCACCCUGGGAGACUCCAAAACAGAAAACCAGACAGACAGUGGUUACAAAAUAAAAGACCUGUGUUUGCAGGUAAGGGGAUUUCUCCAUUCUGACCAUCCAGAUUGCGGACUAGAGAAUCUAUCUCUUUGGGUAAGAUGAAAAUGGAUGAAAUUCAAGCUGUGUUUGAAAUAAAGAUUUCAUAAGUUAUUAUUGUUGGUUCCAAAGUAUUAGGCAAAAACUACAGGGGUACCUGGGGAGCCCACAGAGCAGGACACAGGAAGCAGAAACCUCUCUUAGGAUGGUACAGGCAGGGGCACCAACUCUGUCCUCCUGAACUGGAGGAUCACCUUCACACAUUAAAGUUGUGAGCUCAGCUGGGUAAAAUGCACACUACACAGAUACCCCUGAAGCAUGCGACAUUCCCCAACACCCCCAGCUUUGGCUGUAACAGAACUAGUGUGGAUGCCAAAACAAGAUGCCCCACAUGGUUAAAGAAUCUGACGACUCUUUUUGUAGAGGAGUAGUCGACUAUGUCAUUGUUAUUCCCAAAGAUGGAAGGCAGAAUCAUCAGAAAUUACAGUGACAGGGGUUCCUGCUCGGUAGUAUGCCGAAAAGGGAGUUGAAAGGCACAAGUGCGGACAAGAGGAUCAAUCAAAGCUCCGUUCUGUUCCCAAUCCUUCCAGUCCCGAUGCUCCAGAGAGCAGGGGAGGCACCUGUACACAGGUACUGGGCAUGACUGAUGAGGCAGUGCCCAGGAGCCCAACUUCCUCGAAGCGAGAGAAAGGACAGAGAUGCUAAGAUCUGCACACUUCCACAUUUUAGAGAAUUUGGGAGACCCAUGUUGGAUGUGGACCGUGGUUCUUAUUGGUAUUAUUUUCUGAGUGGUAGAUGUGCUUAAUCCCAGCACCUGCCUAAACUGAUGACAACAGCGGCUUUCCUACUGGAAGGACAUUGCCACUUGAUAGCAUAUGCUGUACCUCGCUUGCAUGUCCCUGCUUCCAAGCUUUGGGGAUUUCUAGGAUUGUUUUCUCCUAGUUUCCUUGUGUCACGUGGGCUCCUUUAUAAAAUAUCCCCAUAUAAUAGUGCAUGAUGUGCUCUAUUACAAAACACAAAUGUGUCUGUCCAAGACAGCCUGGGGGCAGCGAGCUGGGGCGUGGCAAGGAGACCAACUGGAAUGACGGGAGAGCCCUAGUGGAUGCACAGUGCACCGCUCUUACACCACAAGCCUCCCGCCCCAGCAUGAUUUAACCCGUGAAGAAAGCAGAGCAUUUAAUAUGUUCUACAGAUGUUUUAAAAAAGGAAUAACGGCGCUUGUCCCAAGUGUGGGAUGGAGGCACACACUCUUCUGAGAUGUGAAGCAAAUUUCAUAUCUCAAAAGAGAAAAAGGACAACAGUUCCUGCUCAGUCACCAAGUCUGAUUCUCAACCCUGGAACGCCUCAGCCUGCCUGAGCCCAGAAAUGAGGCUCCUUGUGAACACUAUGGAAAUGCAAUGGCUGUUUUGAUUUUCCAUAAUGGACAGCACACUGGUCCAGGAGGCAUAUCCAAUCUAAAUGAACUAGCAUCUGUGAAACUUCCUAGCACAGUCCCAGCACAUCGCAGGAGCUGAACUAAUGUUCUUUUCCCUUCCCAAGGAACCCUGAAGCCUUUGAAGGAACCGUGAUUGGGAAGGCAUCAGCAUUUGCUUUUCGCUGGUAUAAAUUUGGACCACUGGUCUGCCCGGGGUGUCCCCUGCCAGUGGUCGUGGACUGCUAGGGAAGCACAGCACACCCCCCAACACCCCCCCGCAAGGAAGACCCCUCAUUGCCCACCAAUGUCCUCUUUCUGGCGUCCCUCACGUUCCUGGCCGAGACCCUCCGUUCAGUCACGCCAUGAGGUCAGGGCCACGGUUGCCAUUGUCUGCUGGAAGCCAGUGCAGCACUUGGAGCUUAGAAGAUGCACACAACUCUUUGUUAAAGAACAAAGAAAUGGGAGAAACUUUUUAAAAGAAAAUAAACAGAGAGAAAGAGGGUGAGACGAAGACUGUGGCUGAGGCUUUGUUUUCAGGCCGAAAGCAGGACACUCAGCUCAUUCUCAAUGAAACUUCAACAUCGAUAAUUCAAAUGUCUUAGAAAUUGUACAUUGGAAGGGGAAAUAAAAUGAUUUUUCAGCUCUUUUAGGCUUACAGAUACCUAAAUGAAGCAUAGAUUGUAGAAUGUUGUUCAGAAGGGAAUUAAAUUUGGAUUUCAUCCUUCCCAGGGACUGGGGGCACUGCUUGUCACUUUGACUCAAAUGGAGAGUCCCUGCCACUGCUUGCUUGCCUUCAUCUGACCACACUGUGCUAAGCGCCCAGCCCCAGGGUAUAGCUGAGCCCUGCACCAGCUGCAGUGAACCGCUUGGCCGGGUGCCCUCUUAGAUCCUCCCUGCCCUGUUCCCUGGCUCUCUGUCCCCUGCGGUCCUCUUCUCUAGGACUGUUGAAACUUCUCCGCAUCUGGUCAGCUUCACACAAAAGGGCUCCUAUUUUACAGGCUGAGAGCCCCUUCCUGUGUGUUGUCAAAACUGACACAUCGCAUUGCUUAGGUUUAAUCUUCAGGUACUUUUUCUGUUUUUUUACCUAUAAAAUUAAUAUAAGCAUAUGCUCCCGUAAUCAACACAAUUUAGAUAAAGCAAGAGUUCCUCUGGGCCCUCCCACUUCCAUUUGCAUUUUCUUUUCUGUGGACUAACUGGUCAUCUUCUUUAUCCACUUGUCUAUGAGGUUGUUGAUCUUGGUCUUUUUUCUUAUUAACAGAUAGGAAUUCUUCAUAGAGCCUAGAUAACAAUCCAGAAUUCAUGUGUAUACGCACGCAUUUAUCUAUAUGUAUAUGUAUAAGCACAUUACACACAUACAUUUGCACACAUACAAAUGUUAGAAAUAUCUUCUCCAACUCUGUUGCUUGUCUUUUAUCUCAGCUUAUAGAGGUUUCCGAUUUUGAAUCAGAAGUUUCACAUUUCAUUGAAGGUAGACAUCACUCUUUCUCUAUUUGCUUUUGUGAUUUGUGUCUUGCUCAAGGCCUUCCCUGUCCUACCCCCAUGUCAAAAGCAUGUUCUCCACUAUUUUCUUUCAGUCCUUAAUCUUUCUUCCGUAGGUAGCCAAUGUCCAGCACGUUUGGUAAUGACACCUCCUCGGUGAAGCGCAAGGCCACCUUGACCCCAGCUCCCAUGGGUCUGUCUUCAGGGGAAUUUUGAGGUUGUUUUUGCUGCAGGGUGUCAGGAACUCCUUCCUCUCUGAUUCUUGGAAAAGUUUACUGUUUGCUGCUGGCUUUGUGGUCUCUCCUCCCUGUGCAGGUAGGGUGUGGAGGGUAAUCAGAGUCAGUCCAGAGGUUGCUCAAAGUUUCAGUUUAUCUCCAGCCACUAUUUGCUAACUCAUCUGAGAAUUCUGCCAAGAUAAACAUCAGACAGACCCUCCUAUGGUUCAAUCAGUCUGCUCCUGGGAAAAUUAGGACAUGUGUCUGCCCGGCUCUGCUGGUGUUCCUGAGAGUGACUGGUCUCUGUGUGACCUUUCAUUGGCCAGGCUCCCCCAAGGGAAACGUCCACCAGCAGAAAAAGUAGGAAAAAAAUCCCUUUAUGCAGAGAAAAUACACUGCAGAAACAAACAUAGUCUAACCCUGCCUUUUAAAACAUAGCUUUUAGACUGAAAGAGUUCACCCUUCCUCUCUCCACCUGGUCACUCUUGGGAUGACAAUUUCAAAUCCCACAUAACAUUCACAGUGUGUUAUUCCCAUGCAAUUACCUUGUUAGGUUUCAUACAUUUAGAACACGGAGGGGGACAGGGGAUGCUUCUCCGCAGUCUCUUCGUUAUUGGGACAUACUCCAACGCUCAGACAGCUCCACAAUGCACCUUUCUCCCACUCUUCAUUCCUUUUCUGGCAACACUCUUUCUCUCUCAGAGGAUUUUAAAAACAUGUCUUGUUACAAAAAGCAAAGAAUGACAGUUGCUUCAGAAAAAUACCCAACUGAAAGAUCCACUCCCUGACCAUGGAGAGCUCACUACAGAUCUAGAAACGCGAGGCAGAGACUUGAAGAUGCUGCACACAUCCUGUGUGGGAGUGGGAGAAAAGCUGCUGCUUCCUUAGCAUUAAAACAGACAGGGUCAUUUCAGCCUUGCAGGGGAUGACCAGCCCUCACUGGAAUUAUGUGAUGGCAUCACAUUUGCUCCUCAUGUAAACAUUCCAGCGGGAGAACGACUGCUCCCUGAAGACACUCAUGGUGUGAUAAACAGCAGUCAGUGGAAUCAAGGCAGGGGCGAGGUCCUCUUCCUUCUGCCUCCUUCUCACCAUGGCACCUUGAGAGAGGCCCUUUGUCCCUCGGGUUUUUCCAUUUUCUCAUUUGCAAAAUGAAGAGGAUCCCAUCUACACCGUCGUGUUUAGAAAUGACACAAGAUCACAAAAACCUCUGCCGCCUCGAAGAUACAGAAUUGCUGGUGAGGCUCGUUGUCUGAGAGCCGGGCUCUGCUCCCCUCGGGGCCAAGUCUACCAAUUGUUCUUUGGAAAACAAAAGCUGGAGGCAUUAAAACUGGGCUGUUCCAAGUGUUCUUUACGUUUUAUAAAUUUUAUAAGGUGAAACUCAAUAUUUAGAUGAUUGGUAGAAACGUCUCUUGGGGGCUUUAUGGUUUUCUAACAUAGAGUGGGGGGACAUGUUACCUCGGCAGGAGCAUGUGGGCUGAGAGGAGGGAACCACAUCAGGGAGGCCGGUGACUGGAGAGGGAAGUCCUCCUCCUGUGGAGGGCCUGGCCCUCAUGGAUUCCCCACUUCCAGGCAACUUUGUGACCUCAGAGAAGCUAACCUGAUGUGCAUGCUACUGACGUUGCCCAUGCCGCUCCUGCUGGCUGAUGGAACUAUCUGUCUGGAGUCUGUGGAUGGCAGACCUCCUGAUUGUGUGGAGCGUGAGUUUUUCGAAAGAGAUCUCUCACUUUCAUCCAGGCUGGAGUGUAGUGGCACACACCACCACACCAGGAUAAUUCUU
rnacentral:lncRNA from 10 species